rnacentral:rRNA from 1 species
UACGUAGGGUGCGAGCGUUUAAUCGGAAUUACUGGGCGUAAAGCGUGCGUAGACGGCUAUCUAAGUCGGGUGUGAAAGCCCCGGGCUCAACCUGGGGAAUUGCAUUCGAGACUGAAUAGCUAGGGUACGGUAGAGGGAAGCGGAAUUUCCGGUGUAGCGGUGAAAUGCGUAGAUAUCGGAAGGAACAUCAGUGGCGAAAGCGGCUUCCUGGACCAGUUACCGACGUCAGGCACGAAAGCGUGGGGAGCAAACAGG